UAAACCUGGAGGCCUAACGUUACUGUAAGGUUAGCUAUGGUUAGCUAAGGAGUAACGUUAACGUUACAUAUAAUACAGUAAUUUGUGUUCUCAAGAUAAAAGUUUUUUUUUCAGAGACGUUUUUAUGAACGUUUUUGGUUAUAGAAAUGUGUUUCCGAUCCAGAUAGAUGAUUAUUACACCUGUAGGUAAAGUUACACUGCAAAAAAUGACAUUCUUGCUAAGUGACAACAAAUCUCACCCUAUUGGCAGAUUUUUUGCCGGUUUUUACCAUAAACAUACUUAAUUCUUAUAUAAUUUUACAUAAAACAAGACUAAGGCCCGGUUUCAAAGACAAGGCUUAACGUUAGCCUUAGCCAGGAUUAUGCCUUAGUUAAAUUAGGCUAUUUAAGUUGCUUUUAUUAAAAUGCAAUAGAAAAAAACAUUACUGAUGUGCAUCUUAAAACAAACAAUGGCACUGAUAUAUUUAAAAAUUUUCAGUUAAGACUGCUCAAAAUUCAUUUUAGUCUGGGACUAGUCUUAAACCUUGUCUGUGAAACCGGGCCUAAAUACCUUAGGUCACUUUUCUUGUCAAGUAAUUGUAUAUCGAUUUAAGAAAUUUUAGAUAUUUUUAAUAAAAACAAGACAAAACUGCUGCUUAGUAAGAAUGGCACUUUUUGCAGUGUAGGUAAAAAUGAUCUAAUGUUUUCCCUAUAUAUUUUGUUUUAAUUUCAUAGCAAUACUCUAACGUUAUAUCUUAAUUUUCUUGUUGAUGUUUUGUAUGUCUAUCUGUGGAACUUGUGCUUUGUAUGUGUAAAUGUUAAUACAAACAAUUUAUUUUUAAUAUUUUAUUUUCAGGUUCUGUGAACUACUGCUUUUGCUAAUUUACCGCUGAUGACCAUGACAAUCCAGGUUCUGUGGCUCGACUGCUUGUGCUAAUCUACCGCAGGUGACCAUAACAAUCCAGCAGAUAACUUCAGGUUUUUUGAAGGCAUAUAAUGACAGUGAGUGGGACCAAAACUCUGACAAUCCAAGUCACCUAUAGGUAGCAUAAGUAAUCUAUAUGACUCAAGUUGCUCAAAUAUUGUCUAGAUGUGUAACGAAUACCUUGCAUGUACAGAGCUAUGUUCUGAAUCUGAUAUACUCCGCUUGUAUUCCCACUGUCAAAUGAACAUUUAAAACAAUAAAUAUUUUUGCAUUUCCCCAGAAUGUCUUUUUCCGUUUCAUUGAAGGUACAAAAUAAAGUACUGUUUUUUAAUAUUGCAUAUUUAUUUUACAUGUAAAGAAUUUAACAGGAAACUAUUGUAGGCCUGUGACCUGAGAGUUUCAUUAUAGAUUCAAAUAACUGCUAAUUACUUAGCAGUUCCUCUUCACAACUUCAUUGAAAAGUUAGAUGUGCUGCUCUAAUCAUUCCUGGAGGAUGGCGGCCCUCUUGUAGUCUUUGGGGACUUCAACAUCCACCUGGACAAACCCUAUGCUUCUGACUUCCACUCCCUCACCACCUCGUUUGACCUCAUGCGCCUCACCAUAGCCGGUACUCACAGACCAAGAAACCAGCUUGAUCUCAUCUACACCCGUAACUGCACCACAGAUAACAUUCAAGUCACACCUCUUCACAUUUCUGACCACUUCUUCAUCACUUUCAACAUGCUCCUUCCUACAUGCACUAAACCAACACCACCACCCGUUUAUUUUAGACGGAACCUUUGCUCUCUCUCCCCUAGCACCCUCUCUGCUAAAGUGACAUCCUCUCUUCCCUCCAACUUUGCAUCUCUACAUGCUGACACUGCCACCGACACCUUAUGCUCAACACUUACAUCCUGUCUAGAUAACCGUUGUCCUCCAGACCAGCUCGUGCCACCCCCUCCUGCCCUUGGCUGUCUGACAUCCUCCGUGAACUACAGAGUACACUCAGGGCUGCUGAAAGGAAAUUGCGCAAGACCAAGAAUCCUGCUGACCUAAGGGACUACCAGUCACUACUCUCCUCUUUCUCUGCUAGUGUUACCACAGCUAAAACUUCUUUCUAUACCACCAAGGUGAGUAAUGCACCUAACACUCGGCAGCUUUUCAAGACAUUUAACUCUCUUCUUUUCCUCCCUCCUCCCCCGCCCACUUCAUCUUUGACUGCGGAGGACUUCUCUGUAUUUUUCACUGAGAAAACAUCUAUCAGCAAACAAUUCUCAGACCUCGGUACACACUACCCUCACUUCAAACAUUGAACUCUCCUCUUUCGCCCCACUGACUGACACUGAAGUCACCAGACUUCUCACCAGCCACCCCACCACCUGUCCCCUUGACCCAAUACCCUCCCAUCUCCUUCAGGCCAUAUCCAGCACACUCACACAUCAUCAACACCUCCCUGCUCACCGGCACUUUUCCAUCCACAUUCAAACAGGCCCAGGUCAUGCCCCUACUGAAGAAACCCACAUUGGACCCCUGUACUACCGACAGUUACAAACCUGUCUCUCUCCUCCCGUUUAUUGCAAAAACACUUGAAAGGGCAGUUUUCAACCAGGUGUCUUCCUACCUAUCCCAGAACAAACUACUGGAUGACAAGCAGUCUGGCUUCAAAACAAACCACUCCACAGAGACUGCACUGCUAUCAGUCACAGAAGCACUGUGGCUAGCCAAGGUGGAAUCUAAAUCCUCGGUCCUGAUUCUGCUAGACUUAUCUGCAGCGUUUGACACUGUCAAUCACCAGAUACUGCUAGCAACCCUGUCAUCUCUAAGAAUCUCAGGCGCUCCUCUCUGCUGGUUCAAACCUCUGGUCCUACCUCUCCAGCAGAUCCUUUAGGGUGUCAUGGAGGGGCUCGCUGUCCACUGCUCACCACAUGAUCACUGGGGUCCCUCAGGGAUUGGUGCUUGGACCGCUGCUUUCUUCCAUCUACACGACAUCCUUGGGACCCAUCAUAUGGGCACACGGCUUCUCGUAUCACUGUUAUGCUGACGACACCCAGAUCUACAUCUCGUUUCACCCAGACGAUACCACCGCAGCAGCUCUCAUUACAGCCUGCCUAGAGGACAUCGCAGCUUGGAUGA